GACCACUUUAGCAUAUAAAGUCGAGGCCAUACGGACAGCCGGGUCCACUGCCGA
rnacentral:sRNA from 1 species